AGAGUUUGAUCCUGGCUCAGGAUGAACGCUAGCGGCAGGCCUAAUACAUGCAAGUCGAGGGGCAGCAGGGAUAGCAAUAUUCGCUGGCGACCGGCGCACGGGUGCGUAACACGUAUACAAUCUGCCUUUAACAGGGGGAUAGCCCGGAGAAAUCCGGAUUAAUACCCCAUAACACUUUAGUUAGCAUUAACAGAAGUUGAAAGCUCCGGCGGUUAAAGAUGAGUAUGCGUCUGAUUAGCUAGUUGGUGAGGUAACGGCUCACCAAGGCGACGAUCAGUAGGGGAUCUGAGAGGAUUAACCCCCACACGGAUACUGAGACACGGAUCCGACUCCUACGGGAGGCAGCAGUAAGGAAUAUUGGACAAUGCCCGCAAGGGUGAUCCAGCCAUGCCGCGUGCAGGAAGACGGCCCUAUGGGUUGUAAACUGCUUUUACACCGGAGAAAACCUCCCCUCGUGAGGGGAGCUGAUAGUAUGGUGAGAAUAAGCAUCGGCUAACUUCGUGCCAGCAGCCGCGGUAAGACGAAGGAUGCAAGCGUUAUCCGGAUUCAUUGGGUUUAAAGGGAGCGUANGUGGACUGAUAAGUCAGUGGUGAAAUCUCCGAGCUUAACUCGGAAAUUGCCAUUGAUACUGUUGGUCUUGANUAUAGUUGCCGUUGGCGGAAUAUGACAUGUAGUGGUGAAAUACAUAGAGAUGUCAUAGAACACCGAUUGCGAANGGCAGCUGACGAAACUAUAACUGACACUGAGGCUCGAAAGUGUGGGGAUCAAACAGGAUUAGAUACCCUGGUAGUCCACACUGUAAACGAUGAUUACUCGCUGCUAGAGGGCAACUUUUAGUGGCUUAGCGAAAGCGAUAAGUAAUCCACNUGGGGAGUACGCCGGCAACGGUGAAACUCAAAGGAAUUGACGGGGGCCCGCACAAGCGGUGGAGCAUGUGGUUCAAUUCGACGCAACGCGUAGAACCUUACCUGGGCUUGAACUGGAGUGGAAGUUGGCAGAGAUGUCAAUGUCCUUUACCGGACUGCUCUAGAGGUGCUGCAUGGCUGUCGUCAGCUCGUGUCGUGAGAUGUUGGGUUAAGUCCCGCAACGAGCGCAACCCUUGUCCUUAGUUGCUAACGAGUCAAGUCGAGAACCCUAAGGAAACUGUCGGUGAUAAACCGGAGGAAGGUGGGGAUGACGUCAAGUCCUCAUGGCCUUUAUGUCCAGGGCUACACACGUGCUACAAUGGGCGGUACAAAGGGUCGCAAACCCGCGAGGGGGAGCCAAUCCCAUAAAACCGUUCUCAGUUCGGAUUGCAGUCUGCAACUCGACUGCAUGAAGCUGGAAUCGCUAGUAAUCGCGGAUCAGCAUGCCGCGGUGAAUACGUUCCCGGGCCUUGUACACACCGCCCGUCACAUCAUGAAAGCUGGUUGUACUAGAAGUCGCCGUGCUAACCGCAAGGAGGCAGGUGCCCAAGGUAUGACUAGUGAUUGGGGUGAAGUCGUAACAAGGUAACC
rnacentral:rRNA from 1 species